GCUGGGUGUGGUGGCGCACGCCUGUAAUCCCAGCUACUCAGGAGGCUGAGGCAGGAGAAUCACUUGAACCCAGGAAGUGGAGGUUGCAGUGAGCUGAGAUUGCGCCACUGCACUCCAGCCUGGAUGACAGAGUGAGACUCUGUCUCAA
ensembl:misc_RNA Metazoa_SRP Metazoan signal recognition particle RNA